rnacentral:rRNA from 1 species
UACGGGGGGGGUAAGCGUUGUUCGGAAUUACUGGGCGUAAAGCGCGUGUAGGCGGCCCGAAAAGUUGGAUGUGAAAGCCCUGGGCUUAACCUAGGAAGUGCAUUCGAAACUGCAGGGCUAGAGUUCUGGAGAGGAAGGUGGAAUGCUUGGUGUAGAGGUGAAAUUCGUAGAUAUCAAGCGGAACACCGGUGGCGAAGGCGGCCUUCUGGACAGUAACUGACGCUGAGACGCGAAAGCGUGGGGAGCAAACAGG